AUCAGAAAAUGGAUGGAUAUACUACUUUCUUACAUUUAGGAACGUUUCACUUUUAUUAUGAUUUCUAUUUAAAGUCUAAAACUAGAAAAUUAAUAAAAAUGUAUGAUAUGGAUAACUCAUGAAGUAUAUUGUUUCUGCAGCACAUAGUGUAUGGUGGCAUUUAGCCUCAGGUUUCCUGCUUGCCACAGAGCAGUGUUCGGCUUUUAUUUAGGUGCAUGGGGGGCAAAAUGAUGAGCUGCAUGUGUAAUGUGUAAUAUUUUCUCACUCUCGCCGUAGGUGCAUAAUGUGUCCUUCUCCUUCGAGCUGAUGCAGGAUGGAGGACUGGAGCGACCAAAGCCAAGGCCAGAAGACAUCGUGAACUGUGACCUUAAGUCAACCCUACGGGUCCUCUACAAUCUCUUCACCAGGUACAGGAAUGUUGACUGAGGACCCAAGCAACAAAAAGGAGACUUUCUAUUCUCAAUGGACCUCAUGCUAUAAUCUUAUGAAUCCAUCAAUUUCUUGUUGAAAUGUGCUUUUUAUUUGAAUUCAUACGUACCGUUUUACAAAUGACCACACUUGUUAAUCCAUGCAGCAUCACUUUGAAGGGACACCUUUCGACACAUUUGGGAAAAAAAAAACACAUUUCACAUUUUUAUUGAAACAUCAUCAUUGUAUUUAUUGUAAAUGUAAUACACUUCUUCUGUCAUAUAUUUCUCGCUUUUUCUGCUCCUCUUGAUAUGCCUUUGAUUAAACUUUUAUUACUUGA